rnacentral:rRNA from 1 species
UACGUAGGGUGCAAGCGUUAAUCGGAAUUACUGGGCGUAAAGCGUGCGCAGGCGGUUUUGUAAGACAGAUGUGAAAUGCCCGGGCUUAACCUGGGAACUGCAUUUGUGACUGCAAGGCUAGAGUGUGUCAGAGGGGGGUAGAAUUCCACGUGUAGCAGUGAAAUGCGUAGAUAUGUGGAGGAAUACCGAUGGCGAAGGCAGCCCCCUGGGAUAACACUGACGCUCAUGCGACGAAAGCGUGGGGAGCAAAC